rnacentral:rRNA from 1 species
ACGCUCGACACCUACGGGAGGCAGCAGGUGGGGAAUAUUGCACAAUGGGGGAAACCCUGAUGCAGCGAUGCCGCGUGAAGGAAGAAGUAUCUCGGUAUGUAAACUUCUAUCAGCAGGGAAGAAAAUGACGGUACCUGACUAAGAAGCCCCGGCUAACUACGUGCCAACAGCCGCGGUAAUCUGAGCGGGCUGGCAAGGC